rnacentral:misc_RNA from 1 species
GAAAUGCGAUAAGUAAUGUGAAUUGCAGAAUUCAGUGAAUCAUCGAAUCUUUGAACGCACAUUGCGCCCGCCAGUAUUCUGGCGGGCAUGCCUGUUCGAGCGUCAUUUCAACCAUCAAGCCCCCCCGGGCUUGCGUUGGGGUCCUGCGGCUGCCCGCAGGCCCCGAAAUGCAGUGGCGGGCUCGCUGUCACACCGAGCGCAGUAGCGUACCUCACGCUCUGGGCGUGGCGGCGGGCGCCGGCCGUGAAACCCCCAUAAUGACCCCUAAAGGUUGACCUCGGAUCAGGUAGGAAUACCCGCUGAACUUAAGC